rnacentral:misc_RNA from 1 species
GUGGUAGGUGUGUCGGUUGGAGAGGGCUCGUGUGUUUCGUGGUAGCGACCCGCGUUACGGAAAAUUCGAGGCGAAAGCCUCGCCUUUCAGGGCGAGGAGGAUGUCACACUCCCUC